GAAAGCUGUAGAGAAGAAGAUGGGACAAAGGUUUCAAAACCAGGUGUAUAGGCAUGGGAAUCUAAGUCUUCCAAGCACUUCCAGACAAAUCAGUUUCAGAAUUGCGAAAGAACCUUUGCUUUAUGAUAUUGAAAAGAGAGAAAAAAUAAAGAUAAAACCAAACAAUAAAGUCCUCAAGAGAAUUACCCACUUUCCCUACCAUCUUUUCUUUUUCUUUCUCUUCAACCAAACAGCUUCACUCCUACUCUUCUUUCUCAAGUGUCACCACAAAAAACCCGGUCAUUUAGAGACAAAAGUAGGCUAAGAAAGUGGCCUUUCAGGUAGAAAAAUUAUAUGCCUUGAACUUGUGUUCAUAGCUAUAUGCCAAAUUGACAACUCAAAAGCAAAGGGAAGUUAUGAGGGGCAAAGUCACCUUGAAGCCAACUUUAUUAUGACCGAUUACGAGUUUAUUCAAGAUGUCACCCUCCUCUUUCUUUCUUUUUAAUAACAUAUUUCCUUUUCUUCAGUAUAUAUACAACUCCUUGCCUCCUUUUUCUAAUGCAAUCUUCUUAACCUCAACAGUUUUUGUACAUUUUCUCCAACACUUCUCAAGUAUGUGUGUGUAUUCAUGCUUGAGAAUGCUUGCCAUGUGGUACUUCUUCACUGCCUUAGACACCAUUGUCCAAGCAUUAUCAUCAUUAUUCGGUUAUAGACACUAAAAAGUAACUGGACGUUAUACAUUCAGUGUGCCUCAACAUAUAUAUAUGUAUAUUAGGCAUCCAUUCAUUUUCAUAUUCAUAUAUCAUCAUGCUUGCAUUAUAUUAAUUAAAUGCAUAUUUUGCAUGCCUGGCUCCCUGUAUGCCAUUUGCAAAGCUCAUCAAGAGUCUGGUGGCCUUCGCGUAUGGCGUGCGAGGAGCCAUGCAUGCAUUCUGAUGUCUUAAUCAGGGGAAAAGAAAAAGAGUUAGGAUUUCCAUGACAAAAUAAGCUUAGGGAUACAGAAAAGGAGGACUCUGAUGUUUCACUCUAUUUUCCUCAUUUCCUAGGGAGAAUUCAACUACCAAACUGUAAUAUGCUUUUUAUUUAUAUAUGAAAAGAAUGAAAAGUUGUAGUGGGAAAAUGCUAUUCUUCUCUCUCUAUCUUUUUUCUUUGUACAACAUUUUCAGGACCGUAUAGGAACUGUUCCAAUGUUAUGGAGAAACAGUGAUUAGUUCUCCCAAAAGAACAAUUGAGGCAGCAAGUCAAGAACAAGAGCUCAGGGAGCUUGGGGUGCUUUCCAUGUUUGAGGCUUUAGAGUAGAGGCUCUGAAACGUUGUCUUUUGUCCCAACUUGAUGUUCAUCAGAUCAGCAACAAGACCAGGUUGUGAAAUCUGAACUCCUUCUAUGUCUAUCUCAUUAGUCAACAUUUUCAGGGCUGUUGACAUUUCUGGUCGGAACCUGGCUGUUUCUUGAACGCAAAGGAGACCCACCUUGAUGUAUCGAACCGCAUCUGCUUCAGGGCAGUUCAUACCUAGUACAGGAUCCACCAAUUGCAGAAGCCUGUUAGCCCUGUAUAGUUCCCAUGCCUGCAUGUCUCACACACAAUAUGAAGUCAACAAGUUACUAAUUUACUAAGAGAAUUUAUUUUCCGAAAACGAAUCGGGAAGUUAGAUUCACAAGUUACUUUGAAUAACAUCCAUUACCUUUUGAACCA